UGGUCAAUUACCAAGGCUUAUAGAAUGCAGUUUCUAGUUUGCCGUGGACAUGACCAUAGAGAAAUUUCCACUAGGUUUUCAUCUUAUAUGCUACCUUGUUAGCAGUCAACCUAUUGGGAACAUUU